UACGAAGGGGGCUAGCGUUGCUCGGAAUCACUGGGCGUAAAGGGUGCGUAGGCGGUCUGGUAAGUUUGGAGUGACAGUGCUCGGCUUAACUGAGCAAGGCCUUCGAAAACUGCCAGACUUGAGCACUCAAGAGGGACAUAGAAUUCCGGGUGGAGUGGUGAAAUGCGUAGAUAUCCGGAGGAAUACCAAAGGCGAAGGCAGUGUCCUGGGGAGUGUCUGACGCUCAGGCGCGAAAGCUAGGGGAGCGAACAGG
rnacentral:rRNA from 1 species